rnacentral:snoRNA from 1 species
AUCUGGCUUAGUUAAGAGGCAUACAACAAUGAGAUCAAAAUAUCAGCUUUUGAUAUUUUGGUCAAUUUAACUGAGGCUUUUUUUUUUUUUUUUGAAGGCAAAUUAUUCUAUAAAUUGUCCACUAAAAGAAGCCUUAGACAUCA